GAUGAACGCUGGCGGCGUGCCUAAUACAUGCCAGUCGAGCGAACAGACGAGGAGCUUGCUCCUCUGACGUUAGCGGCGGACGGGUGAGUAACACGUGGAUAACCUACCUAUAAGACUGGGAUAACUUCGGGAAACCGGAGCUAAUACCGGAUAAUAUAUUGAACCGCAUGGUUCAAUAGUGAAAAACGGUUUUGCUGUCACUUAUAGAUGGAUCCGCGCCGCAUUAGCUAGUUGGUAAGGUAACGGCUUACCAAGGCAACGAUGCGUAGCCGACCUGAGAGGGUGAUCGGCCACACUGGAACUGAGACACGGUCCAGACUCCUACGGGAGGCAGCAGUAGGGAAUCUUCCGCAAUGGGCGAAAGCUUGACGGAGCAACGCCGCGUGAGUGAUGAAGGUCUUCGGAUCGUAAAACUCUGUUAUUAGGGAAGAACAAAUGUGUAAGUAACUAUGCACGUCUUGACGGUACCUAAUCAGAAAGCCACGGCUAACUACGUG
rnacentral:rRNA from 1 species